UUGAACUUGAAAAAGCAAAAUAAAGAUGCCUAUUAGUGCCAUGGAGAAAAAAAAGAUAUUUGCAUUUAAACAAGAUAAUAUUGCGUAAAAACAAGCUAACAUUACAUUAUAAAGUGAUAAUUACUUCAUAAACGAUAUUGCCUAGUGUAUUAAUAUCUUGCAAUAUACUGUACAUGAAGUAAUACUGUCCCAUGCAACAUAGCACUGUUAUUAACAACAGAAGAAUAUUGUCACACUACUCUUUGAACAAAUUAAUUAGUCUUAAGGAGCAUGUGUUCUGUCUUUCGUUUACACAGAGUAGAACACCCUGUGAUUUAGCUUUCCUGGGUUAAACAUGUCUUUUUCACCAUUUCUGUGAAAAGCAGAAAUCACAUGGCUUUACAAAUGUGUGCUAUUAUUCAUGUGAAAAUCAAGAAGCAUGAGCUGUGCAUACUGUAAAUCUUUGCCUAAUCUUUAAACAUUGGACAGAAGACAUUUACAGGACGCUGACAGUAAGAUACUUACUGUUGGUUUACUCUUACAGCUAAUGAUUUGGUAGAUCAUUAAAUCUUUAAAGAAAAAAACUCAAAAGGUUUUAACCUAUGCUGACAUCAAAUGCUGAAUUUGAAAUUACACAGCAAAAUGCAGGAAACGUCAUUUGAAGGGAGAAGAAACAGCAUUGGUUUGCACAGACGAGACGUGAUUAUAAAGAGAUAGAGGGAAGCCAAACAAAAUGAAAGACAAUUAAAGGUUGGUACACAAGCCGUAGCCAACAGAGUAAUACAUUUAUGAAGAGAGCCCAUUUGCUGGGGAUGUGUUUGGAACACUAUCUUGUUUAUUGUUGAAUAUUUCCAUAGAUGCACAAAAUGCUCAAAGAGCCCGACUGCCAUGACUGGGUGGUACCCAAUCUUGAUGUCAACAGGCACAGGAAACACUGGUAUUCAGGCUGCAUUGAGUGAAAGUGAAUUCCGACCAGGAUACGUAACCACGGUGACCCAGUGCCUGGCCCAGGGACAGGGAAGAGACUCGUGCUCAAAGUGCAGAGCCGUGCGGACUUUGCUGCGUUGGAAGUCAUAUCUCCGGGGUAAUCUGAGGAUUCAUCCCAAACAUGAAGAUCCAGAAACUCAGAUUGAUACAAUUCUUGUAUCCCAAAAGAAAAUGGAUUUAAGUUUGAAAAUUUCACAGCCUUAUAAAAAUAUUUUCUUUUUGGACUUUAGAUCCCAAAUAACAUAAUUAAAAUGACAAGCUAUCUUUUGAUACUUUGAAAUUCAAUUUUGAUAACUAAGGAUGCAUGUGUUAUUGUAGUCAGAGAUCAGUUUAAACGUCUGAGACUUGAAGUUGAACAGCUAAUUUGAAUGUUAUACAGCUAUGAACUAUUUUAAAAUAAUCAGGUCAGAAAAAGUAUAAUGGUUCACUGUAUAGUAUCAUGCCUGAAGAAAAAGUGAAAGAGGCAUAUUAUGCAGGAAAUUAGAUAUUUUAUGAGAGUGAAAUGUGGUUUAAAAUACAAUUUUAAAUGUAUUUAAUGAGAAAUGUCAUAAUAAAGUUGGAAUUUUUAGGUUUAA